AAAUGUUACUCAUCGCAUCAGAUGGAUGCCUCGACUCCAAAGUCCGAUGAAGGACGUGGCCAGCUGCGAUAUGUCUCGGUGAGCCGCUAGGCAGGCGCUACCAGCCGAGAAUUUCCGAAUGGGGCAACCCAUACGAGGUUAUGCUCGUAUACUCCGUAAUUUAUUACGGGGUGGUCACUCUGUGAACUGAAACAUCUCAGUAACAGAGGAAUAGAAAUCAAAAGAGAUUCCCUUAGUAGUGGCGAGCGAACAGGGAACAGUCCAAACCCCACUAUUUUAUGGUGGGGGGUUGUAGGACUCCAAUAUGUGAUUAGAUCAUGUUAGGCAAACGACCCUGGAACGGGCGGCCAAAGAGGGUGAGAGCCCCGUCGCCGAAAAUAUGAUCUACACUAGGAGAUUCCUGAGUAAGGUCGGACACGUGAAAUCCGGCCCGAAUCUGGGAGGACCACCUUCCAAGACUAAAUAGCUUUGGAGAUCAAUAGCGGAUAGUACCGUGAGGGAACGGUGAAAAGCACCCCGGAAGGGGGAUGAAAUAGUCUCUGAAAUCUGAUGCGUUCAAAGAAUGGGAGCCGCUUUAUGCGGUGACCGUGUGCCUUUUGCAUAAUGAGCCAACGAGUUGCUCGUCUGUGGUCGGCUAAGGGAGUCAAAACCCGGAGCCAGAGCGAAAGCGAGUCCGAAUAGGGCGUUUAAUCGCAGGCGGCAGACCCGAAACCGGGUGAGCUACCUAUGGGCAGGAUGAAGGUUAGCGGAAGCUAACUGGAGGUCCGCACCCACGCAUGUCACAAGAUGCGGGGAUGACCUGUGGGUAGGGGUGAAAAGCCAACCGAACCCGGAGAUAGCUGGUUCUCCUCGAAAUGCCUUUAGGGGCAGCCUCUUUGUAUACGAUUGGGGGUAGAGCUACUGUUUGGAUGAGGGGGUCUUCCCGACCUACCAAUUCCUGAUAAACUCCGAAUACCAAUCUUUUCAGCAAAGGGAGUGAGACGGUGACGGCGAAUCGCCAUCGUCAAAAGGGAAACAACCCAGAUCAUUUGCUAAGGUCCCUAAAUUUUACUCAGUGGAAAAGGUGGUGCGAUUGCUCCGACAACCAGGAGGUUGGCUUAGAAGCAGCCAUCCUUUAAAGAAAGCGUAACAGCUCACUGGUCGAGGAGUCGUGCGCCGAAAAUUUAACGGGGCAAAGUAAAAUACCGAAGCAGUGGAUAUAUUUAUAUAUGGUAGAGGAGCGUUCCGUUCAGCAGUGAAGCAGUGUCGCGAGGCAUUGUGGAGCGUACGGAAGUGAGAAUGUUGGCAUGAGUAACUACUAGGCAGGUGAAAACCCUGCCCACCGAAUCCCCAAGGUUUCCCACGCAACGGCAAUCGGCGUGGGGUUAGUCGGUCCUAAGGCCAGGCUGAAAAGCGUAACCGAUGGAUAACAGGUCAAUAUUCCUGUACUUCAUGAAGAUCGCCCAAGGAUGUUAGUUGAUAGUCUUACAAGCCUCUGUUCUCACCACUCUGGAUUUGAGUGGGACUAGGGAUUAGUAGAUGGUAGAUAGGGACCCAUCCCUAACUACUAACUACCAGCCCCCAAUCCCUUGUUCGAAUCUAGUGUGGUGAGAUCAUGUUUAUAAGAAAGGAAACUUUCAUUCUAGGAGCGGUGGGACGGAGUGGGAAGACCAGAGCGUGUGUAUUGACUGCACGUGUAACACGUUAGGUGCUGAGAGUAGUAGGAAAAUCCGCUACUUGAGCCGAGCGUGGAUGCCAAUUGUUCCACUUUUGUGGGAUUAGUCUGAAUCCUUGCGCUUCCAAGAAAAGCAUCGCUUCCGAGAGUUUUACGAAACCGUACCGCAAACCAACACCGGUGGGGUGGUCGAGUAGACCAAGGUGAACGAGAGAACUCGCGUUAAGGAACUCGGCAAAAUAGCGUCCGUAACUUCGGGAUAAGGACUGACGGUGGUCGCAAGAUCAUCGCCCGCAGCAAAAGAGUACAGGCGACUGUUUACCAAAAACACAGGUCCCUGCUAAGUCGCAAGACGAUGUAUAGGGGCUGAUGCCUGCCCAGUGGCAGAAGGUCACGUGAGAGGGUGCAAGCCUUUGAUCUAAGCCCUGAUGAACGGCGGCCGUAACUAUAACGGUCCUAAGGUAGCGAAAUUCCUUGUCGGGUAAGUUCCGACCCGCACGAAUGGUAUAACGGUCUGUACACUGUCUCAAC
rnacentral:rRNA from 1 species